rnacentral:rRNA from 1 species
CACGUAGUUGGCCGGUGCUUCUUCUACCCCUACCGUCACUUCCGCUUCGUCGGGGCCGAAAGAGGUUUACAACCCGAAGGCCGUCAUCCCCCACGCGGCGUCGCUGCGUCAGGCUUCCGCCCAUUGCGCAAUAUUCCCCACUGCUGCCUCCCGUAGGAGUCUGGGCCGUGUCUCAGUCCCAGUGUGGCCGGUCGCCCUCUCAGGCCGGCUACCCGUCGUCGCCUUGGUAGGCCAUCACCCCACCAACAAGCUGAUAGGCCGCGGGCCCAUCCCCCACCGCCAGAAACAAAUGUAACUGGCUUUCUACCACCUGUCAUGCAACAAGAGGUCAUAUCCGGUAUUAGACCCAGUUUCCCAGGCUUAUCCCAGAGUAGGGGCAGGUCACCCACGUGUUACUCACCCGUUCGCCGCUCGUGUACCCCGAAGGGCCUUACCGCUCGACUUGCAUGUGUUAAGCACGCCGCCAGCGUUCGUCCUGAGCCAGGAUCAAACUCU